UACAGAGGGGGCGAACGUUGUUCGGAAUUACUGGGCGUAAAGGGCGCGUAGGCGGCCGCCUAAGUCAGACGUGAAAUCCCUCGGCUUAACCGGGGAACUGCGUCUGAUACUGGAUGGCUUGAAUCCGGGAGAGGGAUGCGGAAUUCCAGGUGUAGCGGUGAAAUGCGUAGAUAUCUGGAGGAACACCGGUGGCGAAGGCGGCAUCCUGGACCGGCAUUGACGCUGAGGAGCGAAAGCCAGGGGAGCAAACGGG
rnacentral:rRNA from 1 species